rnacentral:rRNA from 1 species
GAUGAACGCUGGCGGCGUGCCUAACACAUGCAAGUCGAGCGGUAUAUAGUGGAAUGAAACUUCGGUCGAGUGAAGCUAUAGAGAGCGGCGGACGGGUGAGUAACGCGUAGGCAACCUGCCCCAUACAGAGGGAUAGCCUCGGGAAACCGGGAUUAAAACCUCAUAACGCAGAGAGUUCACAUGGACUAUCUGCCAAAGAUUCAUCGGUAUGGGAUGGGCCUGCGUCUGAUUAGCUAGUUGGUGAGGUAACGGCUCACCAAGGCGACGAUCAGUAGCCGACCUGAGAGGGUAAUCGGCCACAUUGGAACUGAGACACGGUCCAAACUCCUACGGGAGGCAGCAGUGGGGAAUAUUGCACAAUGGGCGAAAGCCUGAUGCAGCAACGCCGCGUGAGCGAUGAAGG